GUUUUCAGCCUCAGGGAGCUCUAGUGGAGAGACAAGAUUCGUGCAUGAAAUAAUUACGACUGUUGUAGAAAAAAGAAAAGCCUGUAGGUCUCCCUUCCUCCCUCCUUCUCUCUGUCUACCUCAGCAUUUCUGGGGUUCACUCUGCUCUGGGUACUGUGUAAAGGACUCCACAGCCAUCAACUUCCCUUCAUCCUUGCCGUGUCUUUGAAAGAGCUGAGAUUUCUUUACAUCACAGUGGUUCAAGGAGAAAAACACAGCCAGAUCCUUCCUCAUCUCAACAUAAAUUAAACCCAGAGGCAGUCAGCGCCACAGUCCACACUCGUAACCGUUACACUCACCUGGAAAUAAAAGUAUUUUUGUGCGGGGACUGCAAGGACUAAGCCCGGCCGCACUCCGAGUUUCUCCUCCUCACAGAUAGGGGCUGAGGCUCAGAGAGGGCAAGUGACCUGCCCAAAGUCACACAGCCGUGACUCAUUGCUCAGGUGAGGAAACUGAGGCUCAGAGAGGGUCCGUGGCAUGUCCAAGGUUACUCUGCUGUUAAUUGUUUUCUUGGCACUCUCUCCCUUCUCACCUGUGACUACCUGAGUGUCCCCAGAGGCAAGGAACUAUGUGAGCCACUCCAGUGUUCCCAGCCCCAAGGCCAGGCACAGUGGACAUUUAUUGCUGAAUGAAUGAAUCAAGAGAGAGGAUCAGAAAGCUGCAGAGGAUGAUAGAUCUGCAAAAUUCUCCCUGGGUGAGGCCCAGGCUCAGCUUCCAGAACAGCUCCAUCUGUCUCCCACUCACUGAGAUUGAACUAAUGUCCCACAGUUGGACAGACCUGAAAUUGAGCUCUGUGAUUUUGGAUGUGCCUUUUGCCUUCCACGGUGAUUGUGAGGCCUCUCAAGCCACGUGGAACUAUGGAGUCUCAAUAUGCUGCCCAGGCUGGAGUGUGGUGGUGCCAACAUAGCUCAUUGCAGCCUUGAACACCCAGGCUCAAGUGAUCCUCCUAUCUCAGCCUCCCAAGUAGCUGGGACUACAGGUGCUCCAUUAAAUCAGGAACCUUGUUGCUUCUGGUAUCUGGGGUGUCCCACCGCUACCCCCAUGUGAGUGCCUGGCACAUAUAGAUACUUGAUACCUGCUUGCUGAAUAAAUGAAUAAGUGCAACUUGACUGGAUGAUGAGAGGCACAGCUGAGUCCGGAGCAGACUGAGCCACCUAAGAGGGGAGGAACCGCUGCAGAGAAACCGUGUUAAGCCUUUUUGAAGUUCCAGAGGGAGAACAAGAGAGCGGAGGCUCCUGGUGGCUGGUGACAGGAGGUCUCUUCUAAGUGCCUUUCACCUAACAGCAUCCUGCCCUGGAGGAGACUUCCAAGCAUGAUUGGAGCUCCCAAUCCGAUGGGGGAGACAGGACACACAUACGUGUAAUAAGAGUGUCCCCUGUGAGGCUGCUGCUGAGAGAAGCUCUGGGAAGUGUUCCUGAGAGUGGCUUCCCAUGGAGUUUGGAGGAGGAGGAGUGGGCCAAGCAGGGAAGGACCAAGAGGUCACCUUCUCCUUUCCAGCCCCAGAUGCCUUUGGCAGGAGCUGGUCCGGGCCUGGAAGGCAGUGCACGCCCACAGCGCCCUCUGCUGAACGGUAUCAGAACAGCAGGCUUGGAGGGCGAAGGCAAUUCCUGCAAAGGAUCCCUGGUUUCCUACCCAUGGGAAACCCCAGAUUCUGAAGCCAGGAAUGAAGGGUAGAUGGAGCCUGGGUCAGCACCCGAGAGGACCCAUAUGUGCAACCUGGAGGAUCUUGGAGCUUGGGAGUAGCGUAGGGGGUGGUUAGUUCAGUUCGGGAUGGCUGAGGAAGCCGUUUUAAACAACUUUCACCGAGAUCUUACUGAGGGCUCAGGAACUUGGCAUGGCCACCAUCCUGGGUAUCCAGGGCCCCUCCUUCCCCCAGGCUAGGAGAGGAACCCCUCCCAGCAGAUGCCUUCCCAGACUACCCUUGUCUCACUUAUCAUAGAGGACGUGUGCCGCCUUCCUUCUCCCAGGCCCUGGAUCUGGGGUUGCUGGACUUGGUGCGUGGGUGGUCUGGAUGCUUCUAGGAUGAAUUCAUAAUUGGGAGAUUCUAGGUGAUGCUCAGAUGGAAAUGAGGGCAACUGCUGCUUGAUGGCAGAACAACAGAGCUUGGCAGAGCUAGGCUGGACUCGACUUGGCAUUUUCUCUCCGUUUCAGACCAGGAUACGGAUUAAUUGAGCCCAGCGGAGCUCAGGUUUCCCGGGGCGGGGGGCAAGCAGUGCCUUGGAGGGAGUGGGGUACUGUGGGACGGAGGACCCAGGAGACCCAGAAUCCUGAACUGUCGGGCUGACUUCGUCUCCUACAGAGUUCUUUAACCCAGGAGCCCCGAGAACCUGCUUUCCUCAAUGUGUUCUUCACCCGUGAGGGACUAGGACAUCCUAAUUGCCAUCCCAGCAGGACACACACACAGACACACACACACACACACACACACACACACACACACACACACACAAAACUGGCCUUUACAGGAUGCACAGUGGAGGAAAAGAACAAAGAAGCACGUGUCUUACAAAGGGAGAGGCAGUGCCAGGCUCAUAGAAGUCAGUGAGGUACUACAAAGGGGACGUCAGGUCCCCCCAGCAGCCUAGAGCCAUGGUGAGGGCCAGGGAGAGGGCUUGUCUAUCACAGUGACAGUCCAUUAUCCAGCUGAACAUCACCUAGGAGGGCCAUGCAUGUGAACAGGGUUUCUGUUUACCAUGUCAGCUUCAGCCUGGGGGCUCCUCCAAUUUUUCCCAUUAGGAGCCCUUAGCACAUCGCUGCAAUGUUUCUGGCUUAUUGGGAAUUCCUAUUAUAGUCCAUUGUCCUCCCUCAAAUCUGAAAAGGGAUGAUUGAUUUUGAGGAAACAAGGCAAGUUGCUGAAGGAUUUCUAAAUGAGCCUUAUGUUUGAUUUUGGGGUCAGUCUGUGUGGGUUCCAAGACAAGAUGGUGGCUGGUAAUGAUUUUCAAAUAAAUAUAUUUUGUGAUCACGAAUUGCCUCCGGGAGAAAUCUGAAAUGUGGCAAGCAGCUCAGGAGAGACACUGCUGCAGGUGCCGUCAGUGCCUUGCUGCAGCCCCUUGGCGUGUUUCAGGUCAGUGCACUUGGGCCUGACUCCCAUCUGCCAGCACCUGCAUCUCUUUCUUUUUAAAAAAGCCAAAAAAAUCAGUUUCAUGGUUCAUCUUGCUAAUUUCAAACCAAAUGUACUAAAAAAAAUGUGGGUUACCCUUUGUAAUUUAGGCUUUCUCUAUUCAAUAAUGAUACAUCCUGGUCAUUUAUUAUUACAGAGGUCUUGGAAUAGUAGAUAGCAUAUCUGGAACUUUAAAAUCUGCAAAGAUACUGUACGCAUGUCUCAAUCAUUUGUGCAGGGGAGGUGCCAGGGUUGAAGGAAACGCAUGGUAGACACUGCAUCAUGUUCUCCUUUUAUUAGCACGAGUGCCUACCUUUCUUUGCCUGGCAGCUUUCUCGCGGGCUGCAGGAGCCUGCUCAGCUGGUGCACCUGUGCUAGACCAGAAGCACCAAGGAAUGAAUCCUCCAGAGUGGCCUUCCCCAAGGGCUGAGUGGAGCUGGUGUACACGCACCCCGUUCCUUCACUGUGAGCUUUGGGGUGUGCAUCUACUCUGACUCCCAGAGUUACCAGUGGGGCGAGGGUCCACACCUGUAGCAGUAAUCUCCUUGGUAACCUUCCCUUUACUGGUGUUCUUUGCGUUCCUAUUUCACUUCCACAUUUCCUUAAGGGUAUUUUCUGGAAUCACCCAAAUAAACUAUUUGCAC